rnacentral:rRNA from 1 species
UACGUAGGGUGCAAGCGUUGUCCGGAAUUAUUGGGCGUAAAGAGCGUGUAGGCGGCCCCAUUAGUCCGCUGUGAAAGUCCAGGGCUCAACCCUGGAAUGCCGGUGGAUACUGUGGGGCUAGAGUCCGGAAGGGGCGAGUGGAAUUCCUGGUGUAGCGGUGAAAUGCGCAGAUAUCGGGAGGAACACCUGUGGCGAAGGCGGCCCCCUGGUUGGAUACUGACGCUGAUACGCGAAAGCUAGGGGAGCAAACGGG